AUCGCGCUACACAAGACGUGAACCCUGCGACCUCCAGCAGUGUCAUGGCUGUGCUGCGUGGAUCUACACACGACCACGGGGAGGAAACCGGAGCAGAGGAGCAGGAGGCGAAGGACAUGUCACGUUGGGCGGGGGAGGAUGGAGCCAUUGAACAUCUGCCAUGAGUUUUAGGUGCGCCCAAGAGUUUUCAGCCAAAUGCCGUUUCCGUCUUCUACGAUGGUAAUUUGACAAAGAGACGACACUCUUUUUGCAGCUGCAAAAAGUCGUAUUUCUAUUAUUAUUGCCAGAAAAGCAAGAAUGGGAGAUACAGCUUUAAGCUCCCGGAGGCUACAUCCCAAGGUCUUUCAUGCUUGUGGGAAAAUAUCUUGAUCUCCACAAAACUUCCCUGGAGCCUCUCAUGAUGGAAACCUCUUCACUGAAUCCAAAACCCAAGCUCUGAUUCAACUGUGAAGCCACAGCCCGUCACUCACAGAAAUCACAGAAAUGUGGCUUCCUGCUGCAUGAUGAUAUGAAAAGGCACUGCGCUUGUUGGAUGUGUUCUUUGUUGCAGCUACAAGCUUGUCAGCUGCUAAGUGACCUCUACUAGGUCCAGCUGUUUUAUAUGCAGCUGAUCAACGACGCCCAAUCAAGCGCAAGAGAAAAAGAACAAAUGAAAUGAACACUAAAAAACACCACAUGUUGUAUUCUUUGUAUUUAUUUAUUUAGAAUAAAAGUUCAAAGGCCAAAACAUUGAACAGGAAAUAAAAAAGUCAAAGUUUAAAUAUAGCUGCCGUUUAAUCCACAGAAUGAGAGUGAGAGACACCUGCGUGGCCGUCAGCCACGGCCUCGUUAACUCAGCUCUAAAAAUGGUAAUUCAGAGCCGUAUUAAAGCUGACACAUAUUUGCAGUUGGUAUUUAUUUUAAUUAGAACAGUUAAAGGAAACAGCUUUGGUAAUUAUGAUAAAGUGUUGGCAGCCUGGAUUGCUGGUGCAUCAAUAUUUGACUUCCGCAGGAUUAUAAAAUGUGGCGAGGGAGAAAAAACAUGACAGGAGGACGACACCCCCCCCGUCAGAAGUGAUUGAAUUUACAUCCACCACGAUUCUUUCCAAAAUGGCAGCAGGGCUUGGCUCUGAUUUUUAUUUUGCUCAUCCCUUGAUGGAGCCUUACGCUGUUUGACAAGACAGCAUGUUUGAACGAGUUGAGCUGGAAAAACUCAUAUUUACUGGCAUUUUACCUGAAAAAAAAGAACUCCUCGUGUUUGGCUUGGCACUGGUUUGAUUUUUGUUGUGCAUCAAUAAUUUCAAUAAUAACAAGCAGGAAAAAUGUGUGUUUGUACAGACUCCUUUAGCACUUUAGCACCUUUUAAGCUCGUUGUUUCGGUUUUCCGUCCAACUGAUCGAAGCGGCUUCGGUCUGCAAGGCCCAAAAAGUCCAUUUGAUUCUACAGUUUGAAUGCGGAAUCACAGAGGAAGGUAACGUGCUGACCAAGGUAAGAGGAGUUUGAACACUGACUUAAAUUCAUCUUUCAGUUGUAAUGUUGCCCUGUGUCUGCAUGAAGCCUAAACCAGCCCACAGUUUGCUUUUAACCGUCAUAUUAACAAAGUGCUGCAUGAACUCUUUUUUUUGUUGUUCACGUGGGGCCGAAACUCAGUCAAUACAAUAAAACUAAAUCAGCUCAGUUGGUGAAUUCACUUUCAAACUCCUGACAAGAAUAUUAUAAGUUGGACGUAUUUUUUAAAAGUUGCAACCAAGCGUCAGAAGAAAACCAACACAGGCGCAAUGAUGCAUGAGGGGAGAAAACACACUUAUAUUUGUGUGUUUCACCUACAGCCUACAGUCCUGCUGCUAUAUUAUAUCAUAUUAUAUAUCGUAUACUAACACUUUUUACUUGCUUUGCAGGAAUGUAAGUAAUGAUGCAACCUUAACGCUUGUCUUUUAAAGUGGUUACAUAUCUUCAAAUACAAUAUGCACUUUGUUGAUGUUUUGGCUUCACUUUUGGAAAGCUUUGCUGUUUUACGUCUUCAUAGACGGUCACAACUACACCAACGCGUCUUUAUUAUUAUCCCUGUGUCCACCCGUUCGGCAGCUCAGCUUUUCAGAUUUUUCCG
ensembl:lncRNA